UGGAAUCUGUGAUAUUCACCACGGCUUCCUGUUGGAAAUACCCAACAAAUACAAAUAUCUGGCAUAUUGGGGCUUCCCCCUCGAGGUGACGAAGCCUCGAAGGCACGAGGUAAUCUUCCACUGAUCACGCCACACUUGGCGCCGAUCACGCAACUAGAUUUCAGGUGAACUGGGCUUGACCAAUCAACAAACAGGUGGCACGUGUAACAGGUAGCAUAACAUUCAAGCAAACCUCAUACAUUCAUGUGCGAACCGCCAAGCUGAAAAGAGUGUCGUAUGGUGAAUCACAUGUAAGAAUCUUGUAACGACCAAUUGUCCAAAGUUUAAUGGUCGUUGCUAAUAUUUACGUGACCUGAGGUUACCUGUGUGCGACUGAGUGCCGGGCCGAAGACGUCACCAUUUCCGUGUUUCCGUGGUACACACACGACUCCGGGGCGCAGGGUAUGUCCACUAUCCCUGACCACAUACAACGGGAGGCAGACAGAGCAACAGGUGAAGCAACAGGUGACCACCUGUAUGAUGUCACCUUCAUCUAUCAUGACAAGGAUCUGGACUUUGUGGUCCAGGCUGUGAGAUACAUCGAGCAACAGCAAGGCCUUAGGAUCUACUAUCGACACCGUGACUCUUCAGGGCCCAUACUGAACAACAUGGUCUACAGUAUCCAGAAUAGUUGUAUUACUGUUGCAAUCAUCUCCCAGAAUUUUCUGGAGGAUACAUUGCGUGACUAUGAGCUACAGCUAGCAAUCCUCACUGCUGUGAAACAUGGACAGGGGUGUUUGCCGAUUCUCCUUGACAACUGCAGAAUUCCUGCAACAUUGGAAACUAUCGAAACGCAUAAAUACUGCAGGAGCACAGAGUUUAAGGGGCUCAACAGCCUAGUUAAAGUCCACCUGAGCAAUGUAAGAAGAAGGCUGGAGCUUCAAAGGACUAUGUACACUCAAGGAGAAACUGCAGAACGGACUGUUGCAGAUGUGCAUAGGCAGUCCUGCUUCCCCCAUCCUCUCUCACAGAGGGUUGAUACACAGGUAAUAUUUUAGCACUCCAUCAACUAGUGCUCCAUAUUCAUAGUUGUAAUUUAUAGGUGUUGUGUCAUGACAUGAACGUACCACUAAUGUCAGCUUAAUUUCAGAAGGGUGAUGGGUCUACAUAAUUAGGACUGGAGGAGGAGACAAGAGUGUUGGUCAGAGGAGGGUCUUCAUUGACGACAAACAGUGGAUAUACUUCACCAGGGGAUUGAGAUGGGGGUUUGGUCAACAGAAAAUAUAUAACCUCAGUUAGCAUUGAUGCUAUUAGCCCAAAUCUGAGGUGGCUCUGAAGGGAAUGAUCAUCCAUGAAGUGUGGUACCUGUUGUUCUUGAUAGUGUUCCACAUAAAGAUGGUCACAAGGGGUCUUCCUGAAGGGAGAUACGGAACUUGUAACGGCCUUGGCUGGUUGCACAAUGGCUCCCGCUGUGUAAUGUCUCUCCUGCAGUCAGCAUACAUGUGUCUGCAGGUAGCAUGUAAGACUGCAAUGGCACCCCUACACUUGGUAUGGGCCCAGGUCUUCCGCCAACCUGAAGAUUCCAGUCUUAUGACUUACAUAGGGAUGCAUCUGUACAACAGUACAAAUAUCUUAGUUCUUAUACUUGUCUUUCACAUAGUUUGGCACAAUAACUAUUCAUUACUUAGUUUGAACAGUACAUUUCUCAUUGUCCCUUUUGUGAAAGGCCACUUCUGUGGUCAGCAUACCUCAGCCUAUCGGAAAAAACUCAAACAAAUGUAUGAGUGUUGCAAGAAAAUCAGAAAGAAGAAGACAAGAGCAGAGUUGAGAAGAUGUUUAUUCUCUGCCAAGACUAGCUAUACCAAUGUGCGGAACUGUAUCAUAGCAUCAUUAGGAUAUGAACUGUUGCAAUGGGCAGUCCUUGUGUAUUGUACUGCCAAAGGAGUCUUUGAUUUUACCACGCUUCCAACAUUAAACACUUUUCAGCUGAUCGUUUUGUUUCUCCACACAUGUUAUCUUGUUGCGCAUUUAUGGCUCUACUACCAUGACUCUACUAUGUAUACCCUCAUAGAAAAAAACAGAUUUCACUAUCCAGAAUUGAUGGAGGACAGUAAUUUUCACAUUUAUCAUGUAGAAUUGAUGAAUUUUGUGUCUUGGUAUUAUGACAAGGGACAGUUCAAGUAAAAGACAAGAGUUUGUUACAUGCAUCUUUCUUUUGAAAUAGUGAAAUCUAAGAAAAUGCAUAAAAGAAGAUAUUACCAAGGUUUGGUGACUUUUGAUUCUUUAGUGUUAUGUCUAAGAAGAAGAAGGUUAGCUAUUCCCCCUUUGUAAGGGAUGUUUCCUACGCUUGUCAGAACAUAACAUGUCAUACAUGUUGUAAAGGAAAGCUCUGUGCAGAAGGAAAAUUCAGCUUAUCAUAUGAAAAAGACAUUUCAAUCUGAUGGACAUCUCACAUGAAGUCAUCUCGUUUCAACAGAUGCUUCAGGACAAUUUAGUCAAAUGUAAAGACUUCAUUCAUAAAGAACAAUUCUAUGCAAAUUGCAGACCACUAUACAAUAUAUGUAUAUAUAUACUGCUUGUACAUUGUACAAUCAUGUUAAAUGACCGAUAACUAGCAAAUGUAUGCAGUUAAACUGGUUUGUAAGUUUCCAUACAGAGAGUGUGGCAACAAGAUGUUUUACAAUGACUGUGUCAUUUUGUACUAUAUGAUAUAGAUAUAAUGAGAAAAUGCAAAUUCAAGUUUUGAGGAGUAAGCACUGUCACGGUGGUCUGUUACAGUAUGCUACAUUUGCAUACUACCGGUAUACAGAAGUCAUCAUCAUAUGGUGCAAAGUCUUGUUCUUUUGGACAAACCAGGAGGGAAGAGUUGAAUAAAAUAUGAUACUUUGAUGCAAAUGUU